AACUCGGUAUCGGUAGCACAAAAUCUCCGGUCUUCAUUCGCUCGCCCAAAAUCAGAAUCUGCUUCCAAUUUCAAUUUCAAUUUCAGAUAGUCGAAUUAAAAAUUGUGUUUGUUUGACUUCAAUGAAUUUCGUGUUACGAGGGAGGGUUCUCUGUUUGAUAUUGUUCUCUUUGUUUUAAUUGAUUGCUUAUGUGAAAUUGUGAUGUUUUUAUGAAUCAUUGUUCUGGCUUGUAUAUAUAUAUAUAUUAUGUUGAUUAAUGAAUGAAGUGAUAGAGCAUGGAAUAUGGCUAAAUGUAUAAACGGGGCUGUCAGAUUGGGGUUCUGUCCAGUCGGAGUUGACAAAAAAUUGUUUAAAGUGUUGCCUACUGUGUCUCUCCAAUAUGAUGCAUCUUUUAUGAUUGAUUGAAAAGCUUCGUGCAUUAGAUUAUGACAUUAUAAGCACAGGACAGAGUGUGUAUCUCACACCAUUUUCCUGAACUAACAUAUGCUAACAGUUACAACACAUUGCUAUCAUGUUGCAGCUUGGUUUAAUUAUUUUAAUCAUAUUCUUAUUUCUAACCACUUUAUUGUUUAGUGAUUCAGCACGUUUAGCAAUUUUUCUUAUUUUGAUAUUGUUCCUUUCUUCUCAUAAUGUCAUUGUCAGGAUGGAAGGUAUCAGAUGCAUCUAUUUAUGCUGGUCUAGAGCAUGCUUAUUUGCUUGGUAGGAGCCAAUUUUUGAGAAACAAGGAAGCUGAAAUGCUAGGAAUUCAAGGAGCAACUUUACUGCUCGAUGGAGCCAAUUUAAGGCUAUGAACUAAUGAUAGGUAGGCAGGAUGAAAACUAAAUGAAAGGGCCUUUCUGGUGAAGAGAUAACAACGUGAAACGCUUUUGUAAGCUGGAUGUCUGGAUGCCUCUGUGUUUCACUGAAGUUGAUAUUGCUGGAGAUAGAUACCGAACGACUUCAUCAUCUCCUUUGAAAGAUACUUGGAUACAAACAUGUUGCGUGACAGGUGCUGAUUUUCUCAACUGCAAAGCAGAAAAGUAUGACUUGACCGAGGAUCAAAAAGAUAUGAUAGGAAAUCAGUCUAUUUUAUUCAUGGAGGGAUCUUUAAUGGCUUCUAUGAAAUUUGGAAGCAAAAUACUUCGUGCAAAACAUGGAGCCAAACAGGGAAUACUAGUUUUCACUGGAUCUUUACAUAUAGUUUAAGCUAUUUUAGGCUCCAUCAAUGGGUAGGUUAGAGUUUGUUAUUUAUUUUUUCUGUUCAUUAGACGUAUGAACUUUACAUCAAUUAAUUAGUCAUGCAACGGUAACCUUGAGGUUGUUCAUAUUGAGCGCUCGAGCUGAAGUUGUAAAGGAUUUAUUUUUCAAUGGAUCAUCGUG